rnacentral:sRNA from 1 species
AUAGACCUUAUUUAUUGAACCAUGACAUCCGGAAAAACCCCCGAAGACCUAACGCUUCUCUCUUAUUGCUUACUGUUUAAUUUAGUUACUUGUCUUUUAUUUUGGUUACUUAUUGCAUACAACAACCCCCUCUCUCUUAUUUUGGUCCUAGCUUCACUCUCUUCUUAAGGAUUUCUCUGAACUACUUCUCUCCUUGUGGAUUCGAUCCUAAAAUACUACUUCUCUUCUUGCUUCUCAUAGCUUUGAUGGUGUAUCCGAAGUCCGUAUGAGUCUUUGGCUUUCUAUAAUCUAACAAGA